rnacentral:rRNA from 1 species
UAGCCAUGCAUGUCUAAGUAUCGUGAUUAUAGUGCAAAACUGCGAAUGGCUCAUUAUAACAGUUGUAAUUUGAUUGAUUUGACUUUUAAAUGGAUAUCCCUGGUACAUCCAGGGCUAAUACAUGCCUGAACGGAUUUUAUCCGUGCUUUGAGAACUAUACAAACACGAGUUUGUGAAUGUGUCUCACCAAGUAAAUCAUUUUGAUAAAUCAAAGAAGCUUCUGACCCAUCAGCUUUGAUGGUAGUGUAUUGGACUACCAUGGCUUCUACGGGUGACGAGGAAUUAGGGUUCGAUUUCGGAGAGGGAGCUUGAGAAAUGGCUACCACAUCUAAGGGAGGCAGCAGGCGCGCAAAUUACCCAAUCCUGACCAAGGGAGGUAGAGACGAGCAGUAGCAAUGAGAAGCCUUUGGUUUCUCAAUUGGAAUGGGUGUGUGUUAAAUCUUCACACGAGUAACCAUUGGAGGGAAAGUCUGGUGCCAGCAGCCGCGGUAAUUCCAGCUCCAAUAGCGUAUUUUAAAGUUGUUGCGGUUAAAACGUUCGUAGUCGUAUUUCUGCUUCGGGUGUUUCCUUUCCAAAGGGGACAUUCGAGCAUUAGUGUGGGCGGUUUUCGUCACUUAACUGUGCCGAUGCAUAAACCCGCACUGAUUAUUUUGAGGAAAUUAGAGUGUUUAAAACAAGCAUGGUAUGAAUAUAAUAGCAUGGGACAAUGUGAAACGGGGACGAGAUUAGCGUGGCUUUUGGCUCGGCCCAAUUUUCAAAAGGAGCAUUUGGGGGUAUUCGUAUUGAGCUGCUAGAGGUGAAAUUCUUGGAUUUUUUUAAGACGAACAAAUGCGAAAGCAUUUACCAAGGAUGUUUUCAUUGAUCAAGAACGAUAGUUAGGGGAUCGAAGACGAUUAGAUACCGUCCUAGUCUUAACAGUAAACUAUGCCGACUAAGGAUUUGUAAACGUGAUAUCACUUUAUAGUACUUUAUGAGAAUCAAAGUCAUCGGGUCUGGGGGAGUAUGGUCGCAAGUCUGAAACUUAAAGGAA